UGGGGAAUUUUGCACAAUGGGGGAAACCCUGAUGCAGCGACGCCGCGUGAUUUAGAAGGCCUUCGGGUUGUAAAAAUCUUUUCUAUGGGAAGAAAAUGACAGUACCAUAGGAAUAAGGACCGGCUAAUUACGUGCCAGCAGCCGCGGUAAUACGUAAGGUCCGAGCGUUGUCCGGAAUCAUUGGGCGUAAAGGGUACGUAGGCGGGUAAGCAAGUUAGAAGUGAAAUCCUAUAGCUCAACUAUAGUAAGCUUUUAAAACUGCUCAUCUUACGGUAUGGAAGGGAAAGUGGAAUUCCUAGUGUAGCGGUGAAAUGCGCAGAUAUUAGGAGGACUACCGGUGGCGAAGGCGACUUUCUGGCCAUAACCUGACGCUGAGGUACGAAAGCGUGGGUAGCAACCAGG
rnacentral:rRNA from 1 species